rfam:Camelus ferus unplaced genomic scaffold scaffold1892, whole genome shotgun sequence.
GAGGGGAUAGCUCUGUGGUAGAGCACAUGCUUAGCAUGCACAAGGUCCUGGGUUCAAUCCCCAGUACCUCCA